rnacentral:rRNA from 1 species
UUCCAGACUCCUACGGGAGGCAGCAGUAGGGAAUCUUUCACAAUGGGCGAAAGCCUGAUGGAGCAACGCCGCGUGCAGGAUGAAGGCCUUCGGGUUGUAAACUGCUUUUAUAAGCGAGAAAUAUGAUGGUAACUUAUGAAUAAGGAUCGGCUAACUACGUGCCAGCAGCCGCGGUAAUACGUAGGGGGCAAGCGUUAUCCGGAAUUACUGGGUGUAAAGGGAGAGUAGGCGGCAAGGUAAGCGAUAUGUGAAAGCCUUAGGCUUAACCAAAGGAUUGCAUAACGAACUAUCUAGCUAGAGUACAGGAGAGGAAAGCGGAAUUCCUAGUGUAGCGGUGAAAUGCGUAGAUAUUAGGAAGAACACCAGUGGCGAAGGCGGCUUUCUGGACUGAAACUGACGCUGAGGCUCGAAAGCGUGGGGAGCGAACAGGAUUAGAUACCCUAGUA